rnacentral:rRNA from 1 species
GAUGAACGCUAGCGGCAGGCUUAACACAUGCAAGUCGAGGGGUAUUGGUUUUCGGACCAAGAGACCGGCGCACGGGUGCGUAACGCGUAUGCAAUCUACCUUUUGCAGAGGGAUAGCCCAGAGAAAUUUGGAUUAAUACCUCAUAGUAUAGUACUUUGGCAUCAAGGAACUAUUAAAGUCACAACGGCAAAAGAUGAGCAUGCGUCCAUUAGCUAGUUGGUAAGGUAACGGCUUACCAAGGCUACGAUGGGUAGGGGUCCUGAGAGGGAGAUCCCCCACACUGGUACUGAGACACGGACCAGACUCCUACGGGAGGCAGCAGUGAGGAAUAUUGGACAAUGGGCGAAAGCCUGAUCCAGCAAUGCCGCGUGAGUGAUGAAGGCCUUAGGGUUGUAAAGCUCUUUUUACCCGAGAUGAUAAUGACAGUAUCGGAGAAUAAGCUCCGGCUAACUCCGUGCCAGCAGCCGCGGUAAAGUGACUACUG